CCUACGGUGUGCAGCCGUGAGGAAUAUUGGUCAAUGGCCGAGAGGCUGAACCAGCCAAGUCGCGUGAGGGAAGAAUGUCCUAUGGAUUGUAAACAUCUUUUGUCAGGGAGCAAAGUCACCCACGUGUGGGUGUUGGAGAGUACCUGAAGAAAAAGAAUCGGCCAACUCCGGGCCAGCAGCCGCGGUAAUACGGAGGAUGCGAGCGUGAUCCGGAUUUAAUGGGUUGAAAGGGUGCGUAGGCGGGUUAUCAAGUCAGCGGUAAAAUCGUGGAGCUCAACUCCAUCCAGACGUGGAAACUGAUGAUCUUGAGUGGGCGAGAAGUAUGCGGAAGGCGUGGUGUAGCGGUGAAAUGCAUAGAUAUCACGCAGAACUCCGAUUGCGAAGGCAGCAUACCGGCGCCCGACUGACGCUGAAGCACGAAAGCGUGGGUAUCGAACAGGAUUAGAUACCCUUGUAGUC
rnacentral:rRNA from 1 species